GACGAACGCUGGCGGCGUGCUUAACACAUGCAAGUCGAGCGGUAAGGCCCUUUCGGGGGUACACGAGCGGCGAACGGGUGAGUAACACGUGGGUGACCUGCCUUCAGCUCUGGGAUAAGCCUGGGAAACUGGGUCUAAUACCGGAUAUGACUCCAUGAUGCAUGUUGUGGGGUGGAAAGCUUUUGCGGCUGGAGAUGGGCCCGCGGCCUAUCAGCUUGUUGGUGGGGUGAGGCCUACCAAGGCGACGACGGGUAGCCGGCCUGAGAGGGCGACCGGCCACACUGGGACUGAGACACGGCCCAGACUCCUACGGGAGGCAGCAGUGGGGAAUCUUGCGCAAUGGGCGAAAGCCUGACGCAGCGACGCCGCGUGAGGGAUGACGGCCU
rnacentral:rRNA from 1 species